rnacentral:rRNA from 1 species
AGUGAGAAUGCCGGAAUGAGUAGCGAGAAUUAUGUGAGAAUCAUAAUGGCCGAAAAUCUAAGGUUUCCUGAGGAAGGUUCGUCCGCUCAGGGUAAGCCGGGGGCUAAGGCGAGGCGGAGACGCGUAGCCGAUGCACAUACGGUUGAAAUUCCGUAGCCACCGAAAGAUUUAAGUACAGGGACGCUUUAGAAGUGAUGUUGCCGGGCGAUGGUUGACCCGGUCGUAAGGGAUCGAAAAUGAGUAGAGAAGUCAUCAUGGAAAGAGACAAGAAAAGCUGUAUGGAUAUUUUAGGUGCCCGUACCGCAAACCGACACAGGUAGAUAGGAAGAAGAUUCUAAGGCCAACGGGAGAAGGGUUGUUAAGGAACUCGGCAAGUUGACCCCGUAACUUAGGGAUAAGGGGUGCUCAAGUGAUUGAGCCGCAGAGAAUAGGCCCAGGCGACUGUUUAGCAAAAACACAGGUCUCUGCUAAAUCGAAAGAUGACGUAUAGGGGCUGACACCUGCCCGGUGCCGGAAGGUUAAGAGGAGAUGUGAGAGCAUUGAAUUGAAGCCCCGGUAAACGGCGGCCGUAACUAUAACGGUCCUAAGGUAGCGAAAUUCCUUGUCAGGUAAGUUCUGACCCGCACGAAUGGCGUAAUGAUUUGGGCACUGUCUCAACAGCCCGCCCGGCGAAAUUGUAGUACUGGUGAAGAUGCCAGUUACCCGCAACUAGACGGAAAGACCCCAUGGAGCUUUACUGUAGCCUAAUACUGAAGAUCGGUAAUGCAUGUACAGGAUAGGUGGGAGCCAGCGAAACCCGGGCGUCAGCUUGGAUGGAGGCAACCUUGGAAUACCACCCUUGUAUUGCUGGUUUUCUAACCUGCGGCCAUGAAUCUGGUCGGGGGACACUGUUAGGUGGGCAGUUUGACUGGGGCGGUCGCCUCCAAAAGCGUAACGGAGGCGCUCAAAGGUUGGCUCAGCACGGACGGAAAUCGUGCAUAGAGUGCAAACGCAUAAGCCAACUUGACUGCGAGACCGACGGGUCGAGCAGGUACGAAAGUAGGAGUUAGUGAUCCGGUGGUAUGUGAGUGGAAAUGCCAUCGCUCAACGGAUAAAA